AGAGUUUGAUCCUGGCUCAGAAUCAACGCUGGCGGCGUGCCUUAUACAUGCAAGUCGUACGCGAAAGUGACCUUCGGGUCGCGAGUAGAGUGGCAAACGGGUGAGUAUCGCGUGGGUGACCUGCCUUCGAGUGGGGGAUAACCCUCCGAAAGGGGGGCUAAUACCGCACAAUAUCCCGCUCUUGGAUGAGCGGUGAUCAAAGUCGGGGAUCGAAAGACCUGGCGCUUGAAGAGGGACCCGCGUCCGAUUAGCUUGUUGGUGGGGUAGCGGCCUACCAAGGCGACGAUCGGUAGCCGGCCUGAGAGGGCGGACGGCCACACUGGGACUGAGACACGGCCCAGACUUCUACGGGAGGCAGCAGUAAGGAAUUGUUCGCAAUGGGCGCAAGCCUGACGACGCAACGCCGCGUGGAGGACGAAGAUCUUCGGGUUGUAAACUCCUGUCAAGCGGGAAGAACAGCAUGCGGGUUAAUACCCCGUGUGCCUGACGGUACCGCUGAAGGAAGCCCCGGCUAACUCCGUGCCAGCAGCCGCGGUAAUACGGGGGGGGCAAGCGUUGUUCGGAAUUACUGGGCGUAAAGGGCUCGUAGGCGGCCAGCCAAGUCGGACGUGAAAUCCCUCGGCUCAACCGGGGAACUGCAUCCGAUACUGGUUGGCUUGAAGCCGGGAGAGGGAUGCGGAAUUCCAGGUGUAGCGGUGAAAUGCGUAGAUAUCUGGAGGAACACCGGUGGCGAAGGCGGCAUCCUGGACCGGUCUUGACGCUGAGGAGCGAAAGCCAGGGGAGCAAACGGGAUUAGAUACCCCGGUAGUCCUGGCCCUAAACGAUGAAUGCUUGGUGUGGCGGGUAUCGAUCCCUGCCGUGCCGGAGCUAACGCAUUAAGCAUUCCGCCUGGGGAGUACGGUCGCAAGGCUGAAACUCAAAGGAUUGACGGGGGCCCGCACAAGCGGUGGAGCAUGUGGUUUAAUUCGACGCAACGCGAAGAACCUUACCCGGGCUUGAGGUGCGAGUGACAAUCGGUGAAAGCCGACUUCCGCAAGGACACUCGUAGAGUGCUGCAUGGCUGUCGUCAG
rnacentral:rRNA from 1 species